GAUGAACGCUGGCGGCGUGCCUAAUACAUGCAAGUCGAACGCACGGACGAGAAGCUUUCUUUUCUGAUGUUAGCGACGGACGGGUGAGUAACGCGUGGAUAACCUUCCUAUAAGUCUGGGAUAACUUCGGGAAACCGCAGCUAAUACCGGAUAAUAUUUCGAACCGCAUGGUUCAAAAGUGAAAGACGGUCUUGCUGUCACUUAUAGAUGGAUCCGCGCUGCAUUAGCUAGUUGGUAAGGUAACGGCUUACCAAGGCAACGAUGCAUAGCCGACCUGAGAGGGUGAUCGGCCACACUGGAACUGAGACACGGUCCAGACUCCUACGGGAGGCAGCAGUAGGGAAUCUUCGGCAAUGGGCGAAAGCCUGACCGAGCAACGCCGCGUGAGUGAUGAAGGUCUUCGGAUCGUAAAACUCUGUUAUUAGGGAAGAACAUAUGUGUAAGUAACUGUGCACAUCUUGACGGUACCUAAUCAGAAAGCCACGGCUAACUACGUG
rnacentral:rRNA from 1 species